UUUUUGUUGUUCAAGGGCGUACGGUGGAUGCCUUGGCAUGCUGGGCCGAUGAAGGACGUGUGAGGCUGCGUUAUGCCUCGGGGAGUUGCCAACUAAGCGUUGAUCCGAGGAUGUCCGAAUGGGGAAACCCAACACCAGUUGUGUGGUGUUACCCGCAGGUGAAUGCAUAGCUUGUGUGGGGGUUGACGCGGGGAAGUGAAACAUCUCAGUACCCGUAGGAGAAGAAAACAAUUGUGAUUCCGUGUGUAGUGGCGAGCGAUAGCGGAUGAGGCUAAACCGCGUGCGUGUGAUACCUGGCAGGGGUUGCGUGCGUGGGGUUGUGGGGUGCGACAAUGCAUGGUCUGCCAACUGUGCCGGCAUUUAUGCGUGUGUAAGCGGAAGCGCCUGGGAUGGUGUACCGGAGUGGGUGAUGAGUCCCGUACGUGAAUGUGCAUGUGUGUGUUGUGUCGUUUUGCCCCGAGUAGCAGCGGGCUCGUGGAAUCUGCUGUGAAUCUGCCGGGACCACCCGGUAAGCCUAAAUACUCAGUGUGACCGAUAGUGGAUAGUACCGUGAGGGAAUGGUGAAAAGUACCCCGGGAGGGGAGUGAAAGAGUUCCUGAAACCGUGCGCUUACAAUCCGUCAGAGCACCUCUUGUGGUGUGAUGGCGUGCCUUUUGAAGAAUGAGCCUGCGAGUCAGCGGCAUGUCGCGAGGUUAACCCGGUUGGUGGGGUAGUCGUAGCGAAAGCGAAUCCGAAAUGGGUGUUUUAGUGGCAUGUCCUGGACCCGAAGCGGGGUGAUCUACCCAUGGCCAGUGUGAAGCAGCUGUAAGAGGUUGUGGAGGCGCGAACCCACUUAGGUUGAAAACUGAGGGGAUGAGUUGUGGGU
rnacentral:rRNA from 1 species